rnacentral:rRNA from 1 species
UGGGGAAUUUUGGACAAUGGGCGAAAGCCUGAUCCAGCAAUGCCGCGUGCAGGAUGAAGGCCUUCGGGUUGUAAACUGCUUUUGUACGGAACGAAACGGUCUUUCCUAAUACGGGGGGCUAAUGACGGUACCGUAAGAAUAAGCACCGGCUAACUACGUGCCAGCAGCCGCGGUAAUACGUAGGGUGCGAGCGUUAAUCGGAAUUACUGGGCGUAAAGCGUGCGCAGGCGGUUUUGUAAGACAGAUGUGAAAUCCCCGGGCUCAACCUGGGACCUGCAUUUGUGACUGCAAAGCUAGAGUACGGUAGAGGGGGAUGGAAUUCCGCGUGUAGCAGUGAAAUGCGUAGAUAUGCGGAGGAACACCGAUGGCGAAGGCAAUCCCCUGGACCUGUACUGACGCUCAUGCACGAAAGCGUGGGGAGCAAACAGG